rnacentral:misc_RNA from 1 species
CAGAGUUGCAAAACUCCCUAAACCAUUGUGAACGUUACCUAAACCGUUGCCUCGGCGGUCACGCCCCGGCGCCCCCGUGCCCGGAACCAGGCGCCCGCCGGAGGACCAUCAAACUAUUGUUGUAUCUAGUGGCAUUGUCUGAGUGGCGUAAAGCAAAUCAAUCA